rnacentral:misc_RNA from 1 species
AGACUUUAGAGCCUUGACGAGAGAGAAUAGGAGAGUUUGAAGCUAUGUCAGUUGAUGCUCUUGCUAUGUCGGGUGCAGAUUACAUGAAGUGCACUGUUCAUUUUGAAGAUACUAAUACGAAUCAGAGGACCUCGGAAAGGACACCACAGUACCUUCUUGCUGAUGAAAGUGACGGAGGGAAUCAUGAUCACGGGCAAUGGUUAGGACAGGCAAGGAGACGAGCAAACGUCAACGUUCAAGCUGAGGCCACAGCAUCAUAGCACAAAUGAGGCCUUCUCCAGGAAAUUAUGUACUUGUUUGGA